GGUGCACAUGACUGGCCUUAUUAAUGGAAUUCUCCCUGGAUAGAGUAUCAUCCUUUGAACAGGAUGCCUUAGUGCUUUCAGCAGCACCUGAUGACACUGUUCUGAGUGGAGGAUUAGAUCGUUGCUCCCAGGCUGAUGACUUGAGAUUUUCCUCUUGUGAGUACCUCUUAGAUUCCAUAAUCGGUUUCGAUGGUUCUGCUGAUCUACGCUGCUCAGAACUUCCCCAGUUAUCUGAAUUUUUGGACUGAGG
rnacentral:misc_RNA from 1 species